rnacentral:rRNA from 1 species
UACGUAGGGUGCAAGCGUUAAUCGGAAUUACUGGGCGUAAAGCGUGCGCAGGCGGUUUUGUAAGUCUGACGUGAAAUCCCCCGGGCUUAACCUGGGAACUGCGUUUGAAACUACAAGGCUAGAGUGUGGCAGAGGGGGGGUGGAAUUCCACGUGUAGCAGUGAAAUGCGUAGAGAUGCGGAGGAACACCGAUGGCGAAGGCAGCCCCCCUGGGCUAACACUGACGCUCAGGCACGAAAGCGUGGGGAGCAAACAGG